rnacentral:lncRNA from 1 species
UGAGUUUGAUCGAAUUAAAGAGUUUAAUUCGAUCAUUAAUUAAAAGCUGUUCUGAUUGAUCAAAAUGGUUCAGCUUGAUUUGACCUAAAUCGGCUAGAUUGUGUUCUAACCAAAUUAGUUUAAAUUGCACCUGAACUCACUACUGGCUAGAUGUGGAACCCAAUGGGUCACACACAAAAAGAAUUGAUCAUGGGUUUAAUUUGAUUAAACCAUGUUUGCAAGUUGAACAUGCUAGCACAUGUUGCAAACCCUAGCAUUUAGAUUCGAAUCGAAUUCGAAUCGGGUUCCGAU